rnacentral:rRNA from 1 species
UACGUAGGUGACGAGCGUUGUCCGGAUUUACUGGGCGUAAAGAGCGCGCAGGCGGUCGUUCAAGUCGAGUGUGAAAGCCCCCCGGCUCAACUGGGGAGGGUCAUUCGAUACUGAUCGACUCGAAGGCAGGAGAGGGUAGUGGAAUUCCCGGUGUAGUGGUGAAAUGCGUAGAUAUCGGGAGGAACACCAGUGGCGAAGGCGACUACCUGGCCUGUUCUUGACGCUGAGGCGCGAAAGCUAAGGGGAGCAACGGGG